GCAAUUAUACAAGAACCUACAAGAAAUAAAAGGAAAACUUGGAUCAAAUCCAGAUGGAUCUAUCCAAUAGGUUAAUCAUUCAAUAGUUGGCCUGGUUCUAAUUCCUUGUUCGUAUUGGCCUAGAGCAGGGCUGUCCAACAAUGUCCCCGGAGAGUUACCCUCCUGUAGGUUUUAACAACAACAAUGUCCCCAGAGUUACCCUCCUGUAGGUUUUAACAACAACAAUGUCCCCAGAGAGUUACCCUCCUGUAGGUUUUAACAACAACAAUGUCCCCAGAGAGUUACCCUCCUGUAGGUUUUAACAACAACAAUGUCCCCAGAGAGUUACCCUCCUGUAGGUUAACAACAACCAUGUCCCCAGAGAGUUACCCUCCUGUAGGUUUUAACAACAACAAUGUCCCCAGAGUUACCCUCCUGUAGGUUUUAACAACAACAAUGUCCCCAGAGAGUUACCCUCCUGUAGGUUUUAACAACAACCAUGUCCCCAGAGUUACCCUCCUGUAGGUUUUAACAACAACAAUGUCCCCAGAGAGUUACCCUCCUGUAGGUUUUAACAACAACCAUGUCCCCAGAGUUACCCUCCUGUAGGUUUUAACAACAACAAUGUCCCCAGAGAGAUACCCUCCUGUAGGUUUUAACAACAACCAUGUCCCCAGAGUUACCCUCCUGUAGGUUUUAACAACAACAAUGUCCCCAGAGAGUUACCCUCCUGUAGGUUUUAACAACAACAAUGUCCCCAGAGUUACCCUCCUGUAGGUUUUAACAACAACAAUGUCCCCAGAGUUACCCUCCUGUAGGUUUUAACAACAACCAUGUCCCCAGAGUUACCCUCCUGUAGGUUUUAACAACAACCAUGUCCCCAGAGAGUUACCCUCCUGUAGGUUUUAACAACAACAAUGUCCCUGGAGAGUUACCCUCCUGUAGGUUUUAACAACAACCAUGUCCCCAGAGUUACCCUCCUGUAGGUUUUAACAACAACCAUGUCCCCAGAGAGUUACCCUCCUGUAGGUUUUAACAACAACAAUGUCCCCAGAGAGAUACCCUCCUGUAGGUUAACAACAACAAUGUCCCCAGAGUUACCCUCCUGUAGGUUUUAACAACAACAAUGUCCCCAGAGUUACCCUCCUGUAGGUUUUAACAACAACCAUGUCCCCAGAGUUACCCUCCUGUAGGUUUUAACAACAACCAUGUCCCCAGAGAGAUACCCUCCUGUAGGUUUUAACAACAACAAUGUCCCCAGAGUUACCCUCCUGUAGGUUUUAACAACAACAAUGUCCCCAGAGAGUUACAGUAAAACUGUAGCAGGUACAGCCUCAGUGUUCACAGUACAACUGUAGCAGGUACAGCCUCAGUGUUCACAGUACAACUGUAGCAGGUACAGCCUCAGUGUUCACAGUACAACUGUAGCAGGUACAGCCUCAGUGUUCACAGUACAACUGUAGCAGGUACAGCCUCAGUGUUCACAGUACAACUGUAGCAGGUACAGCCUCAGUGUUCACAGUACAACUGUAGCAGGUACAGCCUCAGUGUUCACAGUACAACUGUAGCAGGUACAGCCUCAGUGUUCACAGUACAACUGUAGCAGGUACAGCCUCAGUGUUCACAGUACAACUGUAGCAGGUACAGCCUCAGUGUUCACAGUACAACUGUAGCAGGUACAGCCUCAGUGUUCACAGUACAACUGUAGCAGGUACAGCCUCAGUGUUCACAGUACAACUGUAACUUCAAGCAGGUACAGCCUCAAUGUUCACAGUAAACAUUGAGCUCAGCAGACCUGAUAUUUGCUCAGUGCCGAAAAAAGGGAACAUUGUUUGUAACUCACCUUGAUUUUUCACCUGUGUUUUAUCCGUUUCUGUAUGAAAAUAUGUAGUGACUGGGAAUCGGAGUUGGUUUGACGUGACUGGGAAUCGGAGUUGGUUUAACGUGACUGGGAAUCGGAGUUGGUUUGACGUGACUGGGAAUCGGAGUUGGUUUGACGUGACUGGGAAUCGGAGUUGGUUUGACGUGACUGUGAAUCGGAGUUGGUUUGACGUGACUGUGAAUCGGAGUUGAUUUGACGUGACUGGGAAUCGGAGU